rnacentral:rRNA from 1 species
CCUACGGGAGGCAGCAGUGAGGAAUAUUGGUCAAUGGGCGGAAGCCUGAACCAGCCAAGUAGCGUGCAGGAUGACGGCCCUACGGGUUGUAAACUGCUUUUAUACGGGAAUAACGCGCCUUACGUGUAGGGCUUUGCAUGUACCGUAUGAAUAAGGACCGGCUAAUUCCGUGCCAGAAGCCGCGGUAAUACGGAAGGUCCGGGCGUUAUCCGGAUUUAUUGGGUUUAAAGGGAGCGUAGGCCGCAUGUCAAGCGUGCUGUGAAAUGUCCGGGCUCAACCCGGGCCUUGCAGCGCGAACUGGCGUGCUCGAGUCCGCGGAAGGCAGGCGGAAUUCGUGGUGUAGCGGUGAAAUGCUUAGAUAUGACGAAGAACCCCGAUUGCGAAGGCAGCUUGCUGCAGCGGAACUGACGCGGAUGCUCGAAAGCGCGGGUAUCGAACAGGAUUAGAUACCCCAGUAGUC